rnacentral:rRNA from 1 species
GAUGAACGCUAGCGGCAGGCUUAAUACAUGCAAGUCGAGGGGCAUCAAGGUACACGAAAGUGUAUUGUUGGCGACCGGCGGACGGGUGAGUAAUAGGUAGGUAACCUACCUCAUACUGAGGCAUAGCUGGGAGAAAUUCCAGGUAAUUCCUCAUGAGGUUAUAUGACACAUGUGAUAUAAUCAAAGGUAUCGCAAGGUACUGGUAUGAGAUGGGCUUACUGACCAUUAGCUAGUUGGUGAGAUAAGAGCUCACCAAGGCGAAGAUGGUUAGGGGUUUGAGAGAGAGAGAUCCCCCACAUUGGAACUGAGAUACGGUCCAGACUCCUACGGGAGGCAGCAGUAGGGAAUAUUGGGCAAGUGGGCGAAGCCUGACCCAGCCAUGCCGCGUGAAGGAAGACGGCCUUAUGGGUUGUAAACUUCUUUACUAUGCGACUAACUAGAUUUACGAGAUAAUUCUAUAGAAUGUAGCAUAGCAAAAAGCACCGG